UACGAGAGGCCCAAACGUUAUUCGGAAUUACUGGGCGUAAAGGGCUCGUAGGUGGCCAACUAAGUCAGACGUGAAAUCCCUCGGCUUAACCGGGGAACUGCGUCUGAUACUGGAUGGCUUGAGUUCGGGAGAGGGAUGCGGAAUUCCAGGUGUAGCGGUGAAAUGCGUAGAUAUCUGGAGGAACACCGGUGGCGAAGGCGGCAUCCUGGACCGACACUGACGCUGAGGAGCGAAAGCCAGGGGAGCAAACGGG
rnacentral:rRNA from 1 species